AUGCUAUAAGAGAAAAAUGUGUGCUAGAGCAGCAUAGGAUUCCCUGAUACCCAAAUAUCUCUUCUGUCCUGGCUUCAGAGAGGCUGCCACGUGGUUUCUAGGCUAAUGGGACAUUCUCCCCGAAGAACUUACAUCCUGAGCUCAGUUCUGCUCACAACAGCCCCAUUUCUCAACCAGGAUGAAUUUUAAUGCACUAAAUUCUCAUACAAAUUAUUUAAAAAAAUAAAUAAUUUCACGUUUCACAGCUAGGUUCAGGGGACAACAGAAUGUAAAUUCCAACAUCAGGUUCCUUAAACCAUAGCUCCAUUUCUUAGUAGCUUCAGGACUUUGGGAAUUGACCCCGUGCACCCCAACCUUAAACAGUUCAGCCAAAGUCAAGUUAAGCGUGUCUGAGAAAGGCAAAGGGAGGAUAAAUGCAUCCACGACUUGGUCGCAGUGUUUUGCCUCGGGCAGUCAAUGCAAUAAUCACAGAAAAAGAAGACAACGCCAAACUCCACAUGGGCUCCUUAGCUGGACCAAAUUAGUGAGAAAAGUUCUCAAUUUCCAUUUCAUUCUGUGAUGGUCAAAGCACGCAGCUGUCCUGUAACCCAACCUCAGAGGAUCCCGGAGCCAAAACGUCCAACACCAGAGAAGCACAAUAACUGUUGAAGCCACCACUGCUGUGGGGUGAAGGUCAGAGUAGGGGUGAGAAGGAAACUGGAGGCAAUUGCAGACAUCAUUAUUUUCCAAGCUAGGCAGUGAAAAUGUGUCUGUCUUAACACCUCUGAGGCUUGAGUAUCAUGGAUCACAGCUAUGAAACAAAACUGCAGCAAAUUUUUAUAAUUUUGAACGCCUGCAAACGUUCAAAACUUUCUGAUAUGACCCAAAUUCAAAUAGGAAAGGACAUUCACGGAACAUUCGAUUAUCAGUAAACUAGAAGAAACAAAUUACACACUUUUGGAGGUCGUUGACUACCCUCCCCAAAGUAGAAAUUACAUAAAACUUCAGGGAAAUUACCCCUGAUCAUUUAUCAUCUCAUCUUUCUCUUGGCAGAGCUCAAAACCCGGUUUCUAAAAAACCAGCUUCAAACGUGGAAGAAAUGUAUAACAGAGCCCAUGUGGAGAUGAUAUUCUAGUGGGCAUCGGGCCGAACCAGGACUUCUUGGUACCCAUUGUGCAGUCCACAACCUUUACCCCACGAUGUCCCCGUGCACAUCCAGGGGGUGGGGGCGGGUGGGUGUUGUCAGUAGAAUCUUACAACUUCCUCCUUUGCAGGCCUCCCCAAAUCCACACAUCUUUAUUUAUAAUUGAACAGAAAAGGCUCAUGUCCAUCGGGGAGCAAAAUACAGGAAAACAUUUGAAAUGCUACAGUCAGGUUUUUCUGCAGCCCUUACAUAACAGUAGGUGACUUAUUUUCAAUGUUUUACUCUGUUUCUCUUCCUCGGCAAAUUACAUUUCUUUUACAAAAGCCUGUCUGCUCUAAAUUAAACUGAAGAUGCUUGAAAUUCAGGUUAAACAUGUACAACUCCAGACAGAGGCGAGAAAACACACGCAGAAAUGCGCUAGAAAUUUCCAAACCAUUUUUAAAAUGGUAAUUAAUUGCCUUAUCUCUAACAACCUGAGAUAAUUAGCAGUAUGAUUCUAAUUUAAUGAAGCAGGAUGCACAAUUUAUCAAUGUGUUUUCAGUCUGGAUCUCUUUGAAUAUCACUUUAAUUUGCUGCCCUACACACAACUCCGCACGAAGGAGGAGAAAAAAAAGAUCACUUUUUCAGGCUAAAAGUGGGGCUCGCAUCGGGGGGUCCCUGGCUCUUUCUAGUUUCCAUUAAAAGCACUGGAGGACAUUUCAGAGUGCCUCUGAGAAGUCAGCUUAUCAAGAUCGAUUCCUCAUUUUCAUUUCUCCUGAAGAUUCUAAAUUAAGCAUUUUUUCCCACUCGGUCUAAGGCGCUGCCUCCCGAGCUGUGUCCCUUGCUCCAAGUUUGCCAGAGAGAAUCCGAUGGCACAACAUCAGUGGACCCCAACCGAUGCAUCAGUGUUCAUGGUGGAACCCCUAGCUUUAGAAAAGGACUCCCAUCCAAGCCACACCGUUCAAUUUUAGACAGUUUCAAACUACCAGAAAAAAGCCCGAGAGUGCCAAUGUUUGCACGUGAACUCCAAAACAGAGCAUACAAGUCUAGGCCGGGCAGCGUCAGGUCAUUUACCAAUUCUCCACGCGGCUCUGAGCUGUUUCAGAAGCGUCUCGGCCCGAACCCCACACGUGCGAGACAGAACAGAGGAAGAGGCCGAGAGAUGGAGGCAGAGACAGAGCCGGAGGGCGAGGAAGGAACAGGAAGGGACCAAGGACCAGAGCCGGGACCCCUUCCCGCUGCACCUGCUCGCCUCCCGCCCAGAAGCUCGGCCCCCUCGGCCCGGCCAUGAGAGCUAACUUUUGGCGCGAAGAUGGCAGGAAGAGAGUCAGAUUUCCUUCAGCAGUGAGCUGAUUGCUGAAGACGAAUGAAUCAUUGCACAGCAGGAUGAGAAACCGUGAAGACGGCGCUUUUCCCCUAAUUAGGGACCAUUUUCAGCAAUUCGUUAGGCCGUGGCCCUGCGCCACGAGCCAUCAGGGCGUGGAGCAGGGGACCCCGAAAGCAGGCAGAGCAAAGGGACGGUAAUGAGGCUC
rnacentral:lncRNA from 1 species